UUCAAUUUAGGACAAGUCAAAUUAUCGGUCUAGGGUUAGGAAACCCUAAUUUUUCUGCUCUCUCGGCCUCGACGGCCAUUUUUCUUCUCUCCAGCAUCGACAAUCAUUUUUCUCAUUCAAUACUCGAUAGCACCUGGCCGGAGAUAUAUAACAACCUUAGAACAUGGCCGGAGAUUGAAAAAAUGAUGGCCUCUUCUGCGAUUUUAGUGAUAAGUGAUAAAUUUUAGUGGGUCUGUGGAUAUCCCAGCUGCCCAGACGCUGAGUGUGGGGGGUGCCCUGAUAAGAUAACCUUUUGCUCUUCUUGCAGCUUUUGUUUUUGAUUGACUUGAUGUUUCGUGAUUAGAAUUAAGAGUGUAAUUGAUAUAUGUACUGGUUUAGUGGUUUGUUAUGUUGAAGAUUUUACUAAUAAAAAGAGAAUAUUAUUUAAUGUCCUUUAUUUAGUGAAAAAUGUAUGGGAAUUAUAGUUGUUUGAUGGAUGUUUAGGGUUAGUAAUUGUUUG